rnacentral:rRNA from 1 species
ACGCACGCUGGCGGCAUGCUUUACACAUGCAAGUCGAACGGCAGCGCGGGCUUCGGCCUGGCGGCGAGUGGCGAACGGGUGAGUAAUGCAUCGGAACGUGCCCAGUAGUGGGGGAUAGCCCGGCGAAAGCCGGAUUAAUACCGCAUACGACCUGAGGGUGAAAGCGGGGGACCGAAAGGCCUCGCGCUAUUGGAGCGGCCGAUGUCGGAUUAGCUAGUUGGUGGGGUAAAGGCUUACCAAGGCGACGAUCCGUAGCUGGUCUGAGAGGACGACCAGCCACACUGGGACUGAGACACGGCCCAGACUCCUACGGGAGGCAGCAGUGGGGAAUUUUGGACAAUGGGGGCAACCCUGAUCCAGCCAUGCCGCGUGCGGGAAGAAGGCCUUCGGGUUGUAAACCGCUUUUGUUCGGGAAGAAAUCCUCUGGGCUAAUACCCCGGGGGGAUGACGGUACCGGAAGAAUAAGCACCGGCUAACUACGUG